rnacentral:tRNA from 1 species
UGGCUCAGUUGGUAGAGCAGUUGUUUGCAAUGCCAGGGUUGUGGGUUCGAUUCCCAC